rnacentral:piRNA from 1 species
UGGUACACUAAUUGCCCAGCAUGUGU